GACGGAGGGGGCAAGCGUUGUUCGGAAUUAUUGGGCGUAAAGCGCACGUAGGCGGUCCUCUAAGUCGGGUGUGAAAGCCCGGGGCUUAACCCGGGAAGUGCACUCGAAACUGGAGGGCUUGAGUAUGGAAGAGGGUCUCGGAAUUCCCGGUGUAGAGGUGAAAUUCGUAGAUAUCGGGAGGAACACCAGUGGCGAAGGCGGAGACCUGGGCCAAUACUGACGCUGAGGUGCGAAAGCGUGGGGAGCAAACAGG
rnacentral:rRNA from 1 species